rnacentral:rRNA from 1 species
AUUGAACGCUGGCGGCAGGCCUAACACAUGCAAGUCGAACGAGAGUCGGGAGCGUGAGUAUUGUGUGGGAAACACCCCGAUGGAGGGGGGUAACUACAGGACACGGUAGCUAAUAUCGCACAUCACCUCAUGUGCCCAGAUGGGAUGAGCUAGUGGGUGGGGUAUCGGCGCACAUCGGGGACGAUCCCUAGCUGGUCUGAGAGGAUGACAAGCCACACGGGAACGGAGACACGGUCCAGACUCCUAGGGGAGGCAGAAGUGGGGAAUAUUGCACAAUGGGCGCAAGCCUGAUGCAGCCAUGCCGCGUGGAUGAAGAAGGCCUGCGGGUUGUAAAGUACUUUCAGCGGGGAGGCGUUACCCGCAGAAGAAGCACCGGCUAACUCCGUGCCAGCAGCCGCGGUAAUUC